AAACCGAUGUCUUAAUCCAGUCCUGGGAGAGAUGGGCAGAAUUGCAAAUGAAAGCAUAGCGAUUUUUUCGACUACUCCGAUAAGCUUUUGCUUCUGGAAUAAAUCCGAUUGGGAUUUUUAACGAACAAAUUAACCCUUCGAGCCUGAUUCCUGUACAACGAAGACGGUAGUUACCUGUAAUUCUAUGUUUAUAAAUCGAUCUUCGUCGUUCGAAAACGGGGUAGUAGAUGAUAACCCUCGAGGUUUGGAAUAAAAAACCAAGAUAUGUAUAUUAAAUUAACUGGUCCGGUACUUCUGUACAAUGUUCGUUCUUGGCGUAAAUAACGAAAUUGCUACAACAAAACUUCUUUGAAAAUCAUAAAAAUUGGAAUAAAUUGCGUAAUAUCACUCGAGGGUUUGCGAAGCCGUCUAUCUUUAGUUUUUUUAAUUAAAAAUCUGUGUCCAGGUAGGAGUUUGGCCCAUCUCUGGUCUCCAGGCCCCUCCCACUUCCGGUUACGUUUCUUUCUCGCUAACACGGCGAUCGUGCUACGUUUCUUUUCGCGUUGAUUUCUCCUUGGUAUCGCUGUGUUGCCCGUUGGAGUACGUAACGCGAGGACGUUGAAUUUCUCUCUUCGCAUUCUGUAAGUUCGCUUCCAAGACUCCGACGGUCGCGACCAGUCCGAGGGUGGAAAAUCGGUGCAAUUUGCGGGAAUAUUUUUGCAAGUGUCGUCCGCUCGACGAGCCGAGGAACCGUAGGUUAAGUCGACGUUAAAUAUACGCUGAAAUUAAUCUGAAUUUAAAUCGGUAGUUCGCGUUGGCAGUCACGGGCACGCGCACCCUGAUCGCAACUGGUCGCGAACGGAUCUCCCCUUUCUUUUAUUUCGUAGUUUUCGCGCGGAAGAGAAAUGUUUACCGUGUCACGUCGACCAGAUCCUGCAUCGUUCGGACUCCUGUUGUAGAUAAUAAAACGAAUUAUUUGUAUUAUGACUAUUAAUUACAUUAAUCGCAAUGUCGAUACUAUAUUAUUAUUAUAUUAUUAUUAUAUGAUUAUUAUCAUUGUUAUUGCUUUUCAUAUUAUAAUUUAGAGAUCUCUCACCGUAACUAUUGUAUAUUCGCGAAGACUGAAAGGCUGUAAAGUGUAACUAUAAUGUCGCGCGGGGCGUGCCACACUCGCGCACGUGAAAUAAAUGCAGAACUGUGUCCAUACGAUUA